ensembl:lncRNA
GGCCCAGAAUUCAUUAGGAAGCCAUAUUGCGUGUGUGUGUCUGUGUUUGUCAAAGAGAGAUCACACUGAUGCUAGGUGUGUGUGUGUGUGUGUGUGUACCUACUUAACCAUAUUUUGAGGACAAAUUUGUACCCAAAAGUGAGCUAAACCUGACAAAAUCUCCAAAAACCUCCCUUUGGGGAUGUCCUCAUUUGUAAAACUGGUUUAAAAAUAAAGUAAACAAAGGGGUUUUUUUGUUGUUUGUUUUUUGAGAUGCAGUAAGUUGCAGUAAAUGCAGUAAGUUUUCUGUAAGGUGUAGGGUUGUGUGUGUGUGUGUGUGUGUGUGUGUGUGUGUGUGUAAGGCACCAUCUGCUUGCUGUGACAGUAAUGAAGUGAGGGAGAUUGCAGGACAAUGGCUCAGUCUCUGUGAAUGAAGCGGUGGGCGUCUCAGCCGUAUUUCUCCUGCUCUGCUAAGGAUGGCUUCACUCUGUCUCUCUGUGCUGGCAUCUCUCAAACACAUCCAGCUACAGGUGAAAAUCGUGAGUCUGAUCAUUUAGGAAAAUUACAACACCUCUGUCCUCGACAAGCCACACGGUUAGUGGCAUCAUUCCUUGACGCUUAUAAAAGAAAGAUCAGGUCAUGUAACGUCAACUGCACAUUUGCUUUUCUCAUUCAGAGCUCAUUCAGAGAGUGAAGAACGACGUCAACUGACUGUCAAACUCCAGCAAACCGAAUGCUCAGGAUAUCAAUUCUCACAAGAGAGGUGCUGAGUGACACCUGCGCCUGAAGCAAAACAAACAGCUACACUGGCUCUUUAAUGCCAAUAUAAUAACAGCCUAUAAGAGUCGAAUCAAUGGCUGUCUGUGCCAAAUCCACAGUAAAGUGAAAUUUACAUAGAGAUCUCAACUGCUUCAUGUGUAAUGUGAUUCUGUUAGUUCACAAGAAAGGGGAACAAUCACUUUUGGCAGUAGUUGACAGCAUGAGCAGUUUGCAUCAGUCAGCAGUUCAGUUAAAUGAUGAAGACAUUUGCAAAUAUUAUUCAUAAAUAUGCAAAGUACCUUUGAGUGACAGUUAUUUUCAUAUAUAGUGGGCUGUUCAUAAGUUUGUGAGGGUUUAUUUAUUUAUUUAUUUAUACAUACAUUCCAUAGUUUAAAAGUAAUACAUUAUAUAUUGUUUAAAAGUUUGUGCUCAGUAAGACCUUUAAUAUUUCAUAAAUUAAUA